UACAGAUUUGUGUGAUUUCGAUAGCCUUUCCUCAAAACGAUUUUAAGGCAUAAAGUCUUGAAAAAAAUGUCAUGUUAGAAUAUUCUACAAAAUACAAUACUUCCCCUCCAAGAAUCCUAGUCCACCGUGACUGGUUCUCGUUGACAUGAGGGAGAUCACAACAAACGCGAGCUGGCUCCUCUCUUUCAGAUUCACUGAUUGUCAUGAUCGUCAUGUCAGCCGACAAAGAGCUUACACCCCAGUAGAGAUGCACAAAUGAUGUGACGCAAAAAUACAGAAGCACUGUCCACUAGACGGUAUGCAAAUCGAUGCGGUGUCUCCACUGAACAAAAUUGUACCACUGUGCGCGAUAUCUAUGUGACAUCAUCAUUGAGGAAGACUGCAGACUGCUAGCUGGAUCAAGAGUGUGACAUGAAUGGUGAUGAUGAAUGAUGUUUUGAGGUUUCAAAGUUUUCCAGUUCAAUCGUAUCUAGCUUCAAGGCGAGCUUAAAAAACAAACUAAACUCACGGUCUUCAUUAUGGUCGUAUAGAAAGCCUAGCUGCCCGUGAAUCGCUGGCUGGAUGACUAAUGUACCGUGAAUGCUGUGAUAUGAAAUCCCGAAUUGAAAAUAGGCGGAGCUUGAAAUGCCGAACGAACGCUGCAUUUUCAUUUCGAGCGAGCGAUUCACGCGUGCCGAAUUCGCAGUGGUAUAUGAAUAAUGUACCUUGUUGAUACAUUAGUUGCUCUUUAUUGACUGCACGGAUAGGUAAGUACGCAAAUGA